rnacentral:rRNA from 1 species
AUGGCAGCAGCUCCGCGGUCCUGGUCCGCUCGUCUCAUCGUCCCAUGCGGCUUCGAGGUCACUACGUUCGGCCGUCGGUCCCCCGCGAACAACAUCAUCCACGUCCUCACCGACGCGCGGGGUUCAACAUGGCGCUCGAGACCUCCAGCAUCGCGGAUGACUUCUAGGCCGACGAGCGCGGCACCGGCAUCACCAUCUUCGUCCCCAUCGGCGACGCCUUCCCCGGCCUCCCUUCCGGUGCUGCGAUUCCACGUGCUGCACUCCUACUACCGGCUCGGCUCCCUCGAGUCCAUCAAGAACCCCGUCCAGCCCACGUCCUCACCAAAGUGCAUCGUGGCCGGCUGCUUCGUGCCUCCGGUUCUAGGUGGAGCAAACAUAAAUGUCGGGGUCGAUGUCGACGGAGCCAUUGAAUCGUGUGAUGUUGAUCCUGAAGCAGUCGGGCUCUGCAAUUGUGACGCUGGACGCUGCAAAGGAGAGGACAUCAUAGCUGGAGUUCGAGUUCGAGACGCAGAGGAGAGGACGCCAUAG